rnacentral:rRNA from 2 species
UAGUGGCGAACGGGUGAGUAACACGUGGGCAAUCUGCCCUUCACUCUGGGACAAGCCCUGGAAACGGGGUCUAAUACCGGAUAUCACUCCUGCAGGCAUCUGCGGGGGUUGAAAGCUCCGGCGGUGAAGGAUGAGCCCGCGGCCUAUCAGCUUGUUGGUGAGGUAAUGGCUCACCAAGGCGACGACGGGUAGCCGGCCUGAGAGGGCGACCGGCCACACUGGGACUGAGACACGGCCCAGACUCCUACGGGAGGCAGCAGUGGGGAAUAUUGCACAAUGGGCGAAAGCCUGAUGCAGCGACGCCGCGUGAGGGAUGACGGCCUUCGGGUUGUAAACCUCUUUCAGCAGGGAAGAAGCGAAAGUGACGGUACCUGCAGAAGAAGCGCCGGCUAACUACGUGCCAGCAGCCGCGGUAAUACGUAGGGCGCAAGCGUUGUCCGGAAUUAUUGGGCGUAAAGAGCUCGUAGGCGGCUUGUCACGUCGGGUGUGAAAGCCCGGGGCUUAACCCCGGGUCUGCAUUCGAUACGGGCUAGCUAGAGUGUGGUAGGGGAGAUCGGAAUUCCU